UACAGAGGAGCCAAGCGUUGUCCGGAUUGACUGGGCGUAAAGCGCACGCAGGCGGAUGCGCGCGUGGGGUGUGAAAUCUGGCCGCUUAACGGCCAGGCGCCAUCCCAUACGGCGCGUCUGGAGCCUUGCAGAGGUCGGUGGAAUUGCCGGUGUAGUGGUGAAAUGCGUAGAGAUCGGGAGGAACACCCAGGGGGAAGCCAGCCGACUGGGCAUCUACUGACGCUGAGGUGCGAGAGCGUGGGGAGCGAGCCGG
rnacentral:rRNA from 1 species